rnacentral:tRNA from 1 species
GUAGGCAUAAGCUCAGUGGUAGAGCGUGUGCUUUUUAUGCACGAGGUCCUGGGUUCAAUCCCCCAUACUUCCA